rnacentral:misc_RNA from 1 species
UGUUGGCACUGAGAAAGCCCAGGA